UCAUAGCCCCGAUAGUAGCGGUUACCCCGCAGCAUAUUGGGGUUUUGGAGUGGUGCGAGGAGUAUGAGCGGAUAGCGGGAACAGCU
rnacentral:misc_RNA from 1 species